CCUCCGGUAGGCAGCAGUGCGGAAUAUUGGUCAAUGGGCGGAAGCCUGAACCAGCCAAGUCGCGUGAAGGAUGACGGCCCUACGGGUUGUAAACUGCUUUUAUCCGGGAAUAAGGCGCCUUACGUGUAGGGCUUUGCAUGUAACGUGUGCAUAAGGCCCGGCUCAUUCCGUGCCAGCAGCCGCGGUAAUACGGAGGAUCCGAGCGUUAUCCGGUUUUAUUGGGUUUAAAGGGUGCGUAGGCGGAAUGUGAAGUCAGCGGUAAAAGGUCGGGGCUAAACACCGGCCUGCCGGUGAAACUGGUCUUCUUGAGUGAGCGAGAAGUAUGCGGAAUGCGUGGUGUAGCGGUGAAAUGCAUAGAUAUCACGCAGAACUCCGAUUGCGAAGGCAGCAUACCGGCGCUCAACUGACGCUGAGGCACGAAAGCGUGGGGAUCGAACAGGAUUAGAUACCCUAGUAGUC
rnacentral:rRNA from 1 species